UACGUAGGGGGCAAGCGUUGUCCGGAUUUAUUGGGCGUAAAGAGCGUGUAGGCGGCCAGGGAGGUCCGUUGUGAAAACUCGAGGCUCAACCUCGAGACGCCGAUGGAAACCCCCUGGCUAGCAGUCCGGAAGAGGAGAGUGGAAUUCCUGGUGUAGCGGUGAAAUGCGCAGAUAUCAGGAAGAACACCCGUGGCUAAGGCGGCUCUCUAGUACGGUACUGACGCUGAGGCACGAAAGCGUGGGGAGCAAACAGGG
rnacentral:rRNA from 1 species